rnacentral:rRNA from 1 species
CCUACGGGGGGCUGCAGUGAGGAAUAUUGGUCAAUGGCCGUAAGGCUGAACCAGCCAAGCCGCGUGAAGGAAGAAGGAUCUAUGGUUUGUAAACUUCUUUUAUAGGGGAAUAAAGGUAUCCACGUGUGGAUAUUUGCAUGUACCCUAUGAAUAAGCAUCGGCUAACUACGUGCCAGCAGCCGCGGUAAUACGGAGGGUGCGAGCGUUAGCCGGAUUUAUUGGGUUUAAAGGGUGCGUAGGUUGUUGUUUAAGUCAGCGGUGAAAGUUUGUGGCUUAACCAUAAAAUUGCAGUUGAAACUGGAAGACUUGAGUGUGUCUGAGGUAGGCGGAAUGCGAGGUGUAGCGGUGAAAUGCGUAGAUAUCACGCAGAACUCCGAUGGCGAAGGCAGCUUCCUAAGACAUAACUGACACUGAAGCACGAAAGCGUGGGGAGCAAACAGGAUUAGAUACCCUAGUAGUC